AUUGAACGCUGGCGGCAGGCCUAACACAUGCAAGUCGAGCGGAUGAAGGGAGCUUGCUCCUGGAUUCAGCGGCGGACGGGUGAGUAAUGCCUAGGAAUCUGCCUGGUAGUGGGGGAUAACGUCCUGAAACGGGCGCUAAUACCGCAUACGUCCUGAGGGGGAAAGUGGGGGAUCUUCGGACCUCACGCUAUCAGAUGAGCCUAGGUCGGAUUAGCUAGUUGGUGGGGUAAAGGCCUACCAAGGCGACGAUCCGUAACUGGUCUGAGAGGAUGAUCAGUCACACUGGAACUGAGACACGGUCCAGACUCCUACGGGAGGCAGCAGUGGGGAAUAUUGGACAAUGGGCGAAAGCCUGAUCCAGCCAUGCCGCGUGUGUGAAGAAGGUCUUCGGAUUGUAAAGCACUUUAAGUUGGGAGGAAGGGCAGUAAGUUAAUACCUUGCUGUUUUGACGUUACCAACAGAAUAAGCACCGGCUAACUUCGUG
rnacentral:rRNA from 1 species